rnacentral:rRNA from 1 species
UAGGGAAUCUUCGGCAAUGGACGAAAGUCUGACCGAGCAACGCCGCGUGAGUGAAGAAGGUUUUCGGAUCGUAAAACUCUGUUGUUAGAGAAGAACAAGGACGUUAGUAACUGAACGUCCCCUGACGGUAUCUAACCAGAAAGCCACGGCUAACUACGUGCCAGCAGCCGCGGUAAUACGUAGGUGGCAAGCGUUGUCCGGAUUUAUUGGGCGUAAAGCGAGCGCAGGCGGUUUCUUAAGUCUGAUGUGAAAGCCCCCGGCUCAACCGGGGAGGGUCCUUGGAAACUGGGAGACUUGAGUGCGGAAGAGGAGAGUGGAAUUCCAUGUGUAGCGGUGAAAUGCGUAGAUAUAUGGAGGAACACCAGUGGCGAAGGCGGCUCUCUGGUCUGUAACUGACGCUGAGGCUCGAAAGCGUGGGGAGCAAACAGG